rnacentral:piRNA from 1 species
UCAAUGCUCGAAAUUUCUCAA